rnacentral:lncRNA from 1 species
AGAUUAUGGUGUUCAUGCAUACUUUCUGUGGGCAGCUUGUUCAAGGUCUCCAGGGUCCUACUUUGUUGAGAUGAGAAGUAGAAAGGGGGAAAGAUGGAAUGUUAACAUCAAGUUUUCCAGCCAAGUUGAAUAAAGUGUCCCAUUGGCUUCUUGGACACAUCUGCAAGGAUGUCCAAACGCACACCAUCAGCUCUUACAUAUCAUCCUACAAUGUGCUCCAAGUCUCUGUUACUGGCCUUUUCCUGCCAAGCUCACCAGCCCAUCUUCAUGUUUCUAAGAAGUUUCAGCUUGGGACUUUCCUUCAGUCAAAGGAGUUCAGCUCAGUGCUUAGCUGUGGAUCUCUGUUUCUACUUCCAUCAGCUACUGGACGAAGGUUCUGUGAUGUCAUUUAAGCAUGCUGGAAGAUGAGUGCUGAAGAAUGCCCAUUACUGUAGUUCCCUUUGGUUCUGCAAUUGAUUUAUACCAACUAUAAGCAGCCCCACCCCUUCCAGUCUAUGUCGCAUCUAAAAUAUCCGUCCUUCUUCCUCCCCCCUAUAACCAAAUGUCCCAC